CAUGUGGUUUAAUUCGAAGCAACGCGAAGAACCUUACCAGGUCUUGACACCCCGAUGCUAUUUCUAGAGAUAGAAAGUUACUUCGGUACAUCGGUGACAGGUGGUGCAUGGUUGUCGUCAGCUCGUGUCGUGAGAUGUUGGGUUAAGUCCCGCAACGAGCGCAACCCCUAUUGUUAGUUGCCAUCAUUCAGUUGGGCACUCUAGCGAGACUGCCGGUAAUAAACCGGAGGAAGGUGGGAUGACGUCAAAUCAUCAUGCCCCUUAUGACCUGGGCUACACACGUGCUACAAUGGUUGGUACAACGAGUUGCGAGUCGGUGACGGCGAGCUAAUCUCUUAAAGCCAAUCUCAGUUCGGAUUGUAGGCUGCAACUCGCCUACAUGAAGUCGGAAUCGCUAGUAAUCGCGGAUCAGCACGCCGCGGUGAAUACGUUCCCGGGCCUU
rnacentral:rRNA from 1 species